CUCAAGGAAGCGCUUUGUCCACGUGGACAGAAAGCGCGCCCUCAAGGACGCAUUUUUUGUCUACGUGGACAAAGCACUUCCUUGAGG
rfam:Gossypium hirsutum cultivar TM-1 chromosome 14, whole genome shotgun sequence